rnacentral:rRNA from 1 species
UACGUAGGGGGCUAGCGUUGUCCGGAAUCAUUGGGCGUAAAGAGCGUGUAGGCGGCCCGGUAAGUCCGCUGUAAAAGUCAAAGGCUCAACCUUUGAAUGUCAGUGGAUACUGCCGGGCUAGAGUCCGGAAGAGGCGAGUGGAACUCCUGGUGUAGCGGUGAAAUGCGCAGAUAUCAGGAGGAACACCGAUUGCGAAGGCAGCUCGCUGGGACGUUACUGACGCUGAGACGCGAAAGCGUGGGGAGCAAACAGG